GAUGAACGCUGGCGGCGUGCUUAACACAUGCAAGUCGAACGGAAAGGCCCAAGCUUGCUUGGGUACUCGAGUGGCGAACGGGUGAGUAACACGUGGGUGAUCUGCCCUGCACUUCGGGAUAAGCCUGGGAAACUGGGUCUAAUACCGGAUAGGACCACAUUUUGGAUGGUGUGGUGGAAAGUUUUUCGGUGUGGGAUGAGCUCGCGGCCUAUCAGCUUGUUGGUGGGGUAAUGGCCUACCAAGGCGUCGACGGGUAGCCGGCCUGAGAGGGUGUACGGCCACAUUGGGACUGAGAUACGGCCCAGACUCCUACGGGAGGCAGAAGUGGGGAAUAUUGCACAAUGGGCGCAAGCCUGAUGCAGCGACGCCGCGUGGGGGAUGACGGCCUUCGGGUUGUAAGCUCCUUUCGCUAGGGACGAAGCGUUAUGUGACGGUACCUGGAGAAGAAGCACCGGCUAACUACGUG
rnacentral:rRNA from 1 species